rnacentral:rRNA from 1 species
ACUCCUACGGGAGGCAGCAGUAGGGAAUCUUCCACAAUGGGCGCAAGCCUGAUGGAGCAACACCGCGUGAGUGAAGAAGGGUUUCGGCUCGUAAAGCUCUGUUGUUAAAGAAGAACACGUAUGAGAAUAACUGUUCAUACGUUGACGGUAUUUAACCAGAAAGUCACGGCUAACUACGUGCCAGCAGCCGCGGUAAUACGUAGGUGGCAAGCGUUAUCCGGAUUUAUUGGGCGUAAAGAGAGUGCAGGCGGUUUUCUAAGUCUGAUGUGAAAGCCUUCGGCUUAACCGGAGAAGUGCAUCGGAAACUGGAUAACUUGAGUGCAGAAGAGGUAGUGGAACUCCAUGUGUAGCGGUGGAAUGCGUAGAUAUAUGGAAGAACACCAGUGGCGAAGGCGGCUACCUGGUCUGCAACUGACGCUGAGACUCGAAAGCAUGGGUAGCGAACAGGAUUAGAUACCCCUGGUAGGAUAGCG